UGCUAUUACACAACAAGAAACAAAUAUAAGCUCUGUUUCUGAAAGCUUAUCUACUGGGCCUUCAACUUCUUUCACAGUCUAUGCAACCUGUUAUGAGGAUUACAUAUGAUGGUCAGGAUGAAACCAAACUUACUGCGAAAUUAUAUUAUGAAAAACAUAAACAUUAUAAAAAUAAAAAAUAAACAAA